UACCCCCCGAACCCACCCAAGGCUGCCUCCCGGACCCGUGAGGCAGAGAAGGGACCUCUGGAUUCCUACAAGCAUUAUCUUUGAGAGAUGUGUGGUGCAUUUGACCUGGAGUAAGUGACUGACUGGUCCUUUGGGACUAGGAGUAACCUGAAUAUUGUUGUGAUUUUUGGUGUAAGGGACCAUCCGUCCCAGAGGCAGGCUUACCUGGGCUGCAAAAUAGACCAGAGUGCCCAAGAGGACUGUUUGUGACUCCAUGGGGUCCAAAAGGAAGUUUUUUGGGAACCAACUCCAGAACACAGCCCCAAGAACAGAGCUGCCAG